GAUGAACGCUAGCGGCAGGCUUAACACAUGCAAGUCGAGGGGUAUAGUUCUUCGGAGCUAGAGACCGGCGCACGGGUGCGUAACGCGUAUGCAAUCUACCUUUUGCAGAGGGAUAGCCCAGAGAAAUUUGAAUUAAUACCUCAUAGUAUGUGAGAAUGGCAUCAUUUUCACAUUAAAGUCACAACGGCAAAAGAUGAGCAUGCGUCCCAUUAGCUUGUUGGUAAGGUAACGGCUUACCAAGGCAACGAUGGGUAGGGGUCCUGAGAGGGAGAUCCCCCACACUGGUACUGAGACACGGACCAGACUACUACGGGAGGCAGCAGUGAGGAAUAUUAGACAAUGGGCGCAAGCCUGAUCCAGCCAUGCCGCAUGCAGGAUGACGGUCCUAUGGAUUGUAAACUGCUUUUGUACAGGAAGAAACACUGGUUCGUGAACCAGCUUGACGGUACUGUAAGAAUAGGGAUCGGCUAACUCCGUGCCAGCCGCCGCAGUAACAC
rnacentral:rRNA from 1 species